rnacentral:rRNA from 1 species
UACGGAGGGUGCAAGCGUUAUCCGGAUUCACUGGGUUUAAAGGGUGCGUAGGUGGGCUGGUAAGUCCGUGGUGAAAUCUCCAAGCUUAACUUGGAAACUGCCGUGGAUACUAUUAGUCUUGAAUCUCGUGGAGGUAAGCGGAAUAUGUCAUGUAGCGGUGAAAUGCUUAGAUAUGACAUAGAACACCGAUAGCGAAGGCAGCUUGCUACACGAGUAUUGACACUGAGGCACGAAAGCGUGGGGAUCAAACCAGG